rnacentral:lncRNA from 1 species
UUAUCACACCUAAACUUAGUCUUACUCCUAAGGGUGAUGUUCGAUCCCGAUCGAACAGACUUAGAGUAAUUUCAGGCAAUUUCAUUAUACUCAUUUUUAUCCCCCCCCCCCCUCACUCUUGAGGGUCCUCUCAAUUUUAUAUAUUAUUUAAUCACCCAUUUAUUUCAUUAAAUUCACUCUUUUUCCAAAUUAUCACUUGAGUCAAACAAUCAUACUCGGCUUAUUUUUAUCCAAGUGUCCUUCCUUGGCACUUGAACUUGCUAUUCUCAGAGGGGCGGGCAUCAAUUUGCCACUCUUUUGUUUUCGCGACGUUAAGCGCGAAAAGCACCGACCAAUCACGUUGCGCGCUCGCGGUAACUCAUUAAUUAUUCCACUUUGUGCACACCUUGACCCGCCUCCCGAAUUUGAAAGGUGUCCUCUACCUUCACUUAGCUUAAAAGCGCCCUUCCUAACCAUGGAAUCACUCACCUUGAACAUCCCUUUCAUAGUCCUAACCUUCCUUUAUAGUUGCUCUCAAAUUUAUCCACAUUAUCUCCUCAUUUCUUCACAACCGUGAGUCCCAUUCAUAUGCAAAUUUUCCACAUUUUCACCUUUCUUAGCUUCGGUUCAAUAAUGUACCCCCAAAACCUAUAUAUAUUCUGAAAGCACUCGUCGAGCCCGACCGGCUCAAACUAUUAUCAACCAGUAAAGUUUAAAUCUCGACAUCCAACUCCCACUUUGAAAGUCCACGGCAAGUACAAUAUCCGCUCCCCCCGGAGCCCCUACCAUAGCGGCGUUCCCCGCUCGGUUCCUUUUGGCUCUUGCGCGGCGUUCAGGACCUCAGCGACUCGCCCCUUAGAAUCACUUGUAUCCAGCACGCCGAAGAAGACGGACCCCGGACCUCACUAAGGAAGCAACUCUCUCCCGGACCAAGAAGCUCUGCCCGACGCCCCUGCCAAGGUGGACUCUCUGGAUAAGGAAACGGAUUCUGGCUCUCCAUUGGUGGAAAGGACACCGUCUCACUGAAUUCAAGUCCCGUCAACCGACGGUCCCCACGAAGCGGAGUAUUUACCUGGUGCCUGCCCGCUGUACGAAGGAAUCCGACGUACCCUCAUCCCGGUUCUCCGAAGUUCAGUUUGGCUCUCUCCAGCAAAUAGCUACAAGUGAUGAAAGGUACGCCCCAAGCGCUGCCUCAUCACCCGUCGUGUUAAUAUUUCUUUCUAUUUACAGGUUCAACCAUUCACCUUCAUCACAGGCGCGCAUCGCCUGUCUUGCUUUUGGGCUAUCCCAAAAAGAAUUCUCUACUCAUUGCAUGUUGCGUUCUCUAAUCACAUAGUGAAGGCUUCAUGCAAUUAGUCGACUUGUUUUAAUACGCACCUUCUGUGCAUAUUAAAACGUAUUCUACAUUUUUAUCUCAUUUAUCAUUCCAAAAUUCCCAUUUUUCCCACCUCAACCUAACCCCUAAAUUGUGGAAUUGAAUCAUUCUCUCUUCGUAGUUUCAAGUUCCAUCAAUUAGUGGCAUGCUUUAAUGCAAAUCUUCCAUUUGCAUUAGAACGUUGUUUUCUUUCCCUCUUUCGGCCAAUCAUUCAUUUCAGUCAUUUUCACCUCCCAACUAUUUUUCUUUGUUGUUUCCUGGUUUGCUUAUUUUCCCUCAAA